rnacentral:rRNA from 1 species
UACGUAGGUGGCAAGCGUUGUCCGGAAUUAUUGGGCGUAAAGCGCGCGCAGGCGGUUCCUUAAGUCUGAUGUGAAAGCCCACGGCUCAACCGUGGAGGGUCAUUGGAAACUGGGAGACUUGAGUGCAGAAGAGGAAAGUGGAAUUCCAUGUGUAGCGGUGAAAUGCGUAGAGAUAUGGAGGAACACCAGUGGCGAAGGCGACUUUCUGGUCUGUAACUGACACUGAGGCGCGAAAGCGUGGGGAGCAAACAGG